rnacentral:rRNA from 1 species
CACGUAGGGUGCGAGCGUUGUCCGGAAUUAUUGGGCGUAAAGAGCUCGUAGGCGGUGUGUCGCGUCGGCCGUGAAAACCUGCAGCUUAACUGUGGGCGUGCGGUCGAUACGGGCAUCACUGGAGUUCGGCAGGGGAGGACUGGAAUUCCUGGUGUAGCGGUGAAAUGCGCAGAUAUCAGGAGGAACACCGGUGGCGAAGGCGGGUCUCUGGGCCGAUACUGACGCUGAGGAGCGAAAGCGUGGGGGAGCAAACAGG